UUCCGGUUGAUCCUGCCGGACCCGACUGCUAUCAGAGUGGGACUACGCCAUGCGAGUCAACAUAGCAAUAUGUGGCAUACGGCUCAGUAACACGUAGUCAACAUGCCCAGGGGACGUGGAUAACCUCGGGAAACUGAGGAUAAACCGCGAUAAGUCACUGCUUCUGGAAUGGGCAAUGACUUAAAUCUAUAUGGCCCCUGGAUUGGACUGCGGCCGAUCAGGCUGUUGGUGAGGUAAUGGCCCACCAAACCUGUAACCGGUACGGGCUCUGAGAGGAGGAGCCCGGAGAUGGGCACUGAGACAAGGGCCCAGGCCCUAUGGGGCGCAGCAGGCGCGAAACCUCUGCAAUAGGCGAAAGCCUGACAGGGUUACUCUGAGUGAUUUCCGUUAAGGAGAUCUUUUGGCACCUCUAAAAAUGGUGCAGAAUAAGGGGUGGGCAAGUCUGGUGUCAGCCGCCGCGGUAAUACCAGCACCCCGAGUGGUCGGGACGUUUAUUGGGCCUAAAGCAUCCGUAGCCGGUUCUGCAAGUCUUCCGUUAAAUCCACCUGCUUAACAGAUGGGCUGCGGAAGAUACUAUAGAGCUAGGAGGCGGGAGAGGCAAGCGGUACUCGAUGGGUAGGGGUAAAAUCCGUUGAUCCAUUGAAGACCACCAGUGGCGAAGGCGGCUUGCCAGAACGCGCUCGACGGUGAGGGAUGAAAGCUGGGGGAGCAAACCGGAUUAGAUACCCGGGUAGUCCCAG
rnacentral:rRNA from 1 species